UAGGGAAUCUUCCGCAAUGGACGCAAGUCUGACGGAGCAACGCCGCGUGAGUGAAGAAGGAUUUCGGUUCGUAAAACUCUGUUGUUAGAGAAGAACAGCGCAUAGAGUAACUGUUAUGCGUGUGACGGUAUCUAACCAGAAAGCCACGGCUAACUACGUGCCAGCAGCCGCGGUAAUACGUAGGUGGCAAGCGUUGUCCGGAUUUAUUGGGCGUAAAGCGAGCGCAGGCGGUCAAUUAAGUCUGAUGUGAAAGCCCCCGGCUCAACCGGGGAGGGUCAUUGGAAACUGGUUGACUUGAGUGCAGAAGAGGAGAGUGGAAUUCCAUGUGUAGCGGUGAAAUGCGUAGAUAUAUGGAGGAACACCGGUGGCGAAGGCGACUCUCUGGUCUGUAACUGACGCUGAGGUUCGAAAGCGUGGGUAGCAAACAGG
rnacentral:rRNA from 1 species